rnacentral:tRNA from 1 species
GACGGAUGCAGCCGGAUCGCCCCCUCCUAAGGGGAAGGUCGCCCGUUCGAAUCGGGCCGGGGUCACCA